UUAUUUGGGUUGGGUUUACUUUUCAAAAAUUGUUCCUUUAAGUUUUUCAAAAAGUAAAUCUGCACCAAAUAACAAUUUGAAACACAUCAGAACGAAAUUGUUAUUCGCCCUUUUAUAGGGAGGAGCAAGAUGAAUUUAUUUAAAACCACCCACUCUUAAAAAUAUAUCAUAUAUAUAAAAAUAAAAAGA
rnacentral:misc_RNA from 1 species